AGGUCAUAGAGGACAGGGGAAUCCAGACAACUGAGCCAGUGUAGUAGUUGGUUUCAUAUCCACCCAAUAUCAAUACACUACCCUGCUGAGAAUUGCUGGGGAACAAUGAACAAUCAGGUAGAAAGAGAAAAGAUCUUGAUCCAGCAAACCCUGGCUCAUCAUAUUAUCAAAGACUGGGGUGGCAUCAGAGGCAGCAAUGCUGGGGUAGGCCAACCCCAGAAUACCAUCAGCUACCAUGUUUUGCAUGAAGUCGGCUUCAGUCUUGCUCAGUCCAAAGAUUUGGUUUUUGUCCGCAAUGCCAGCAACCUAGGGAAAGACAUGCAGUUACCUCUCGAACUAUUUCUUAAAAAUAGUAAAUGUAUUCUGUAAUAAUUAAAAACUAUAGCUGAAGUGA